UACGAAGGGGGCAAGCGUUGUUCGGAAUUAUUGGGCGUAAAGGGAGCGUAGGCGGUUCGGCAAGUCUUUAGUGAAAUCUCACAGCUUAACUGUGAAACUGCAUUGGAUACUAUUCGGCUUGAGAGUUGGAGGGGGGACUGGAAUUCUUGGUGUAGCAGUGAAAUGCGUAGAUAUCAAGAGGAACACCAGUGGCGAAGGCGAGUCCCUGGACAACUUCUGACGCUGAGGCACGAAAGCUAGGGGAGCAAACAGG
rnacentral:rRNA from 1 species